GACGUAGGACGCGAGCGUUAUCCGGAUUUACUGGGCGUAAAGCGCGGGCAGGCGGUGGUCCAAGUCGGACGUGAAAGCUCCCGGCUCAACUGGGAGAGGUCGUUCGAAACUGGGCCGCUAGAGGGCAGUAGAGGGGCGUGGAAUUCCGGGUGGAGUGGUGAAAUGCGUAGAGAUCCGGAGGAACACCAGAGGCGAAGGCGGCGCCCUGGGCUGCACCUGACGCUGAGCCGCGAAAGCUAGGGGAGCGAACGGG
rnacentral:rRNA from 1 species